AUUGAACGCUGGCGGAAUGCUUUACACAUGCAAGUCGAACGGCAGCACGGACUUCGGUCUGGUGGCGAGUGGCGAACGGGUGAGUAAUGUAUCGGAACGUGCCCAGUCGUGGGGGAUAACGUAGUGAAAAUUACGCUAAUACCGCAUACGAUCUAUGGAUGAAAGCGGGGGAUCGCAAGACCUCGCGCGAUUGGAGCGGCCGAUAUCAGAUUAGGUAGUUGGUGGGGUAAAGGCCCACCAAGCCAACGAUCUGUAGCUGGUCUGAGAGGACGCCCAGCCAGACUGGAACGGAGCGACGGUCCAGACUCCUACGGGAGGCAGCAGUGGGGAAUUUUGGACAAUGGGCGAAAGCCUGAUCCAGCCAUUCCGCGUGCAGGAUGAAGGCCCUCGGGUUGUAAACUGCUUUUGUACAGAACGAAAAGGUUUCUACUAAUACUAGGAGCUCAUGACGGUACUGUAAGAAUAAGCACCGGCUAACUACGUGCCAGCCGCCGCAGUAA
rnacentral:rRNA from 1 species